rnacentral:rRNA from 1 species
GACGAACGCUGGCGGCGUGCUUAACACAUGCAAGUCGAACGGUGAAGGGGUCUGCUUUUGUGGGCCCUGGAUGAGUGGUGAACGGGUGAGUAACACGUGAGUAACCUGCCCCCUUCUUCUGGAUAACCGCAUGAGAGUGUGGCUAAUACGGGAUAUUCUGGGUCUGUCGCAUGAUGGGUCUGGGAAAGAUUGCGCCUUUGGGUGUUUUUGGUGGGGGAUGGGCUCGCGGCCUAUCAGCUUGUUGGUGGGGUGAUGGCCUACCAAGGCGGUGACGGGUAGCCGGCCUGAGAGGGUGGACGGUCACACUGGGACUGAGACACGGCCCAGACUCCUACGGGAGGCAGCAGUGGGGAAUAUUGCACAAUGGGCGCAAGCCUGAUGCAGCGACGCCGCGUGAGGGAUGGAGGCCUUCGGGUUGUAAACCUCUUUCGCCAGUGAAGCAGGCCUGCUCCUUGUGGGUGGGUUGACGGUAGCUGGAUAAGAAGCGCCGGCUAACUACGUG